rnacentral:lncRNA from 1 species
UGGUCUUGAAGAAUGGGUGGUACCAGGUGGAGAAGGUGAUCAAGUAUUUCCUUGUCUUGAAAGGUUGUGCAUUGAGGGGUGUGGCAAGUUGAGGCAACUCCCAGCACUUGGAUGUCUUCCUCACCUUCAGAUUCUACAGAUAAAAGGAAUGGGUACUGUACAAUGUAUAGGCAAUGAGUUCUAUAGCAGCAGCAGUGGCAGUGCAGCAGUACUGUUUCCAGCACUAAAAGAACUCACUUUGAAGUAUAUGGAUGGUCUUGAAGAAUGGGUGGUACCAGGUGGAGAAGGUGAUCGAGUAUUUCCUUGUCUUGAAAGGUUGAGCAUUCUUAAGUGUGGCAAGUUGAGGCAACUCCCAGCACUUGGAUGUCUUCCUCGCCUUCAGAUUCUACAGAUAAAUGGAAUGGGUACUGUACAAUGUAUAGGCAAGGAGUUCUAUAGCAGCAGCAGUGGCAGUGCAGCAGUACUGUUUCCAGCACUAAAAGAACUCACUUUGGAGGAUAUGGAUGGUCUUGAAGAAUGGGUG